CAGGGAUGAUGGGAACUGUAGUUCCAAAACAUCUGGAGGGCCGAGUUUGGGGAUGCCUGCCCUACAGCUUCCACUUCUCCCCGCCAUGCAACUAAGAACCCCCCUUCCACUUUCCUGAUCCUAUUUUCGAAGCCACUUUUUUUCUACAUACCUCCAUCCCCUCCACAUUAUUCAAUUCCAGGUUUUCCCCUGCCCCAAUCCUCUGGAACGUAUUUCUUUGGGAGGUGGGGAAACAGGGAGAGGAGAGGGAGAGGAAGGACUGGGCAAGUCCUUGUGCUAACGCAAUGACUUUGUUAGAGACAACCGUUACUGUUUCCUGGUGCCUUAAUUUGGUCCUUCAGGUCGCCCACUCGCCAUCGUUGCAUGUUCUAACCUGCGAUGGGGACAUAGCAACAAGUCUCUAAGGUGCGAGAAGUUCCAGGUACCUGGACCAAAUUUCUCUUUGAGGGAAAUGGAGCGGCUGGGGCAAACCAGUCAGAUGGACGGGGUACAAAUAAUAAAAGUUGUUGUUGUGGCAACCUAUUAAAGAAGGCGUAUAAUAUACUGUUGGAAUGGGAAACCAAAGAUGAAGAAGUCAAAUCAGUAAUGAAUAAGUGGGCACAGGAUGUAGGCCAUAAUAUACAGUUUGAGGAUUGGAUAAGACUUUGGAAAGUGAAUUUGAAAUUUACAGAUUGCAUAAUAUUGAAGGAAAAUUACAUGAAGAUGAUGUACAGAUGGUAUAUCACACCAGUAAAACUGGCAAAAAUGUAUAAAACAGAACAAAAGAACUGUUGGAGGUGUAAAGAAGGGGAAGGUACAUUUUAUCAUAUGUGGUGGGAUUGCAAGAUUAUUAAAAAAGGGGGGAUGAUAUAAAAUGAACUGAAAAAAAUGUUUAAAAUAACAUUUGUUUAAAAACCAGAAGCUUUUCUGUUAGGUAUUUUAGGACAAGAGCUGCUGAAAGAAAAAGGAACAUUAUUUAUGUAUGCUACAACAGAAGCAAGAAUUCUAAUGGCACAGAAUUGGAAGACUGGAGAAGUAUCAUCUAAAGUACAAUGGCAAGAAAAACUAAUGAACUAUGCAGUUAGCAAAGUUAACGGACAAAUUGUGAGAAAAGGAUAAUAGGGACUUUGAAAAAGAAUGGGAACCUUUUACAAUAUAUUUGCAGAAACAACAAAAAAAUGGACUCGUUGGCAGGAUUUAAAUAAACAUUUAAAACUUUAUUUACACAAAACACAAAAACAUUUAAAACUUUAUUUACACAAAACAAGAAAAAUAACAAUGUGAUAACAUAGUAUUAUGUAUCAAAUGUAUCAAAUGUAUCAUUUGAUGUAAUAAACCAGAAAUGGAAGCUGAGGGAAGUCUACAGGGAGGGGGUGAAUUGAAAAAUGAAUGUUUAGUAUUGAUAUUGGAAAAUUGAUUUUGAAAAUAUAAAAUCAAUAAAAAAUUUAAGGGGAAAAAGUUUCUGUGGCAUUUAUGUAAUAUUUAUGUUUAUUUACAGUUACACAGGUUGAGCCUAGAUGAUGGUCUUCCUUUACAGAGCCCUCAGAAAACUCAGCCUGCUUUAUUGUUUGUCUCUCCCAAACUGUAUUCCCACAUCAAGCUGCAGUUUCUAUUGUUUCUUUUCUUCCUUAGCAGUGGAAGAUAUACCAGUUGUCUUCUAUUCAGAACAACAAAGCUGGUCAUGUAUCAAGAAGCAUUAACAAUUAAGAAUUCCAUGGAAACAGAUUACCUGAAUAUUCUGGGCUACUGACAGUCCUUCCUCAAGUCCAAGUAUCUGGCCUUGAUGCAACCCUCAAUGAUAGUCCUCUUCACAGAAAACUGAUAGGAAACCCACCACAAUAUUCCACAUUAUCUAUAUCUCUCUAUCUAUAUAUCAUCUAUCUAUCUAUCUAUCUAUCUAUCUAUCUCUGUCAUAUCUAAUACAUAUUGAUCCAUUAAUAAAGCAGAGUGCUUUAAAUCUAGUAAUUGUUUUCUGACUAACCUAUGUUUACAAUCUGUGGCUAUUGAAAAAGAACAAUAAUGAUGUUUCCAUAUUAAUUUUACAUCAUGACACAGAAUUUUAGGAAGAGCUUCUGUUUGUGGGUGUUGCAGAUCGCAGAUCACAAAAAAGUUUCUCAAUAACCAGAAGAUGGCACUGCACUGUAAAGCAGUUAGAACCACUGCUAGCUGGAACUGGAGAUUUGGUAAGUCAUUCUUUUUGAUGCUGUCUUAUUAAAUGAUAAUAACAAAACUGGGAUGUUUUGCAAUCAAAAAUGCACUUCAGGAAUGUCAAUCAACAGAGCAGAAAAACAAAACCUACUAUUUGGAUUCCUAAUACAUACAAAGCGACCCACUGCCUAAUGGUGCCUUCUCUCCUUUUUUGAAACAGGCUUUCACAGACACUUGUCAUUGUCCUGGGAAAACGGUGUGGCCAGCAUCACUCCACUCAGAAGAUCCUGUCCCAUUUUGGGGAAAUUACACUUUCCUCCUGCUCCAAUUGCAAAAUGCAGUUGCUGGAAAACUAACAGUUCUCAUGUCAGCAAGCAGAACUAUUGCACCAUUUUGCUGUUGGGAUGAUGCUUGCAUGCAUGACUAUACAAAAAGAACAUCCUACCUGAAUGCACUAUGUUGAGUGCCUACAGUUGCCCUGUAGGUUUUGCCCUUACCUUUCACUUUACUCUGCUUGCCACACAGGGCAUCGGCCUGUAGUUCCUGACAGGUUGGCUGGUUCAGAGAAGCCUGAUAUGGUAGCUGUGAAAUUUGCAAGACUUUGGUGAAGUGUUUUGAGUCGCAUGAGUACACUGCGAUGCACAACACUGGCAACAGAGGAAAAUAAAAAAGGAAGGCAUUGCUCAAUGGUUUCAUAAUAGGAUGCUUUAAAAUGGCUUACUCUUUUUUGGUUAGGGACACUUUUCCAGCUGACCAGCCGAACCAUUAAGGUUCACUUGGCAGUUCUGAGGCUUGGGCAGUGAUUCUGUGAUUUGGUGUUCUAUUGCGCCAGAAGCGGUUUAGUCCUGCUGGCCACAUGACUCGAAAAGCUGUCUGUGGACAAAUGCCAGUUCCUUCAACUUGAAGUCAGAUGAGCGCCACACCCCAUAGUCACUUUUGACUGGACUUAACCAUCCAGGGUUCCUUUGCCUUUACUUUUACCUCUGAAAAUUGCGCUCUAGUUUGGGAAGGAAUGCAGAGGGAAUAUCAGCAGCAGUGCCGGAUUUAUGUAAAGGCUAAGUAGGCUGAAGCCUAGGGCCUCUAAAUCUAGGGGGCCUCACCAGCCUGCCCUCUCCUCAGUGCCGCAGUCUCCCCUCUUCCAAAAUUGUAAACCCAAGACUUCAUGCAAGGGCAGGGCAACUCAGGCCCAGCAACUAUGAGACUCAGGACUAGCCAGUGGGGCCCAAUUUGAAGCAGUGUGGAGCAACCUGAAUUAUUUUUUUUUGUAGGGCCCCAGUUCACAGCCAAAGUCUGCAAAAUCUUAUAGAUAUAAAUAAAAUCCAUCUAGAUUGCCCUGUUGCGGGGGCCCCCUUAGGAGUGGCACACAGGGCCCAAUUUGGCCCACUUGCUCCAAUUGCCUUAAGGUCAGCCCUGAUGAUGACUGACAAGCCCUGCACCUUCUAGGUCCCUGGUGUCAAUAUUCAGAGUACAGACUCAAGAACUUGUUUUGGAAAUAAAGAGGGGCGCUUAUUGGAAAUCAGUUUUGUCACCUCUUCCCUCCCCCAAACCCCCAGACAAUGAGCCCAGCCACCUUUUAUUCACAGUCACAUAAGCACUAUGCUACAGCAUGGCCAUAAACCUGUACAUUCAACCACUGAAAUAUACACCCAAUAUGUAGCAAUGGAGAUUUAUGUUACUGCUUUAUGAAUAAGCACUGUGUUUUAUGAAUGGACUAUGUAUUUUGUGAAUUACCUAAGAGCCACCAAUAGGGAGCUCUAGAAUCUUACAGCUAACCAAUUGGGUACUACCAAACAGUAACCCCUAUUGCUGAAAGCAGGUAACCAGCAGAGAAUGCUUCAGCUCAGCCUUUGCACUGUUGACUGAACACCACCUGCUGUGCAGAUAAUGGAGAAAGCUCAUAAAUUGUAUCCCUUCUGGCAUCCUGGCCAACUCUAUUAUGCUGGUGUAAACCCUGGUGCACCAGAAGCACAGAAUAGCAGCAAAUAAAAUCCGCUCAUAUGUCAGCAAUGAUAAGACUUGUCAACCAGUUCUUCCAAAGUGUUCCUAAAGCUCCAAAAUACAGGCCAAAAGAGAGCAAGUCUGGGAAGAGCGAGGCAUACAAUGGGCACCACCAGUGAAAAGGCCCUACCCUGUGUAACUCCUGCCCUGUCAGUUGAUAGAGUGCCCACUUGCCCUCCUUCUUGACAUGGAAUGCUCUCUAUUGGAGUCUCCAGGUCCAGUACAAAGACCAUAAGAAGAGAGAGCAGGGAUCUUGAAGUUCCCAACAGCUGUUAAUCAACCAAGCAAGCACACAGGUCACCUUUGUCACAGUCGGAUGCCUAUGUCCUGGCCAGGCCUGCACCCAAUCUGGUUUUUGUACAAUCUUGUUUGCUGUCAGUAACCAAAAUUAUAUUAUCAACAUAUACAAGCAGAACAGUUUUCCUUCAUUUGCAAGGAAUCAUUAC